CACGCAGGCGACGGAAGUGACCUCAUAUCCGGCCUGAGAGGGUUGUUGUGUAUCCAAAGGAAGGGGGUGGCAAAGGAGAAAGGGAUCUGAAUAAAGAAGGGCGAGAAGCAACGGUCAGCUUGGAGCCUCGGUGUCUGACAGGCUGCUACACGAGGCUUAAGCUCAAAGGCACAACCAUGAAAGAUCCAAGUCGCAGGAGUACUAGUCCAAGCAUUAUCAGUGAAGACAUGAUCAUGAAUGGGCACUCUCAUGAAGAUGAUAAUCCAUUUGCAGAAUAUAUGUGGAUGGAAAACGAAGAGGAGUUCAACAGGCAGAUUGAAGAGGAGUUGUGGGAGGAAGAGUUUAUAGAACGUUGCUUCCAAGAAAUGCUGGAAGAAGAGGAAGAGCACGAAUGGUUUAUUCCAGCAAGAGAUCUUCCGCAAACGAUGGAUCACAUUCAAGACCAGUUUAACGAUCUUGUUAUCAGUGACAGUUCGUCACUGGAAGAUCUGGUGGUCUGCAAUGAAGCUCAGAUCCCAUUGUAGGUCACAGUACUGCAGGGUUACAAAUAGUUCUAAAGAUCUCAUAAACUCUCUCUUGCAAUGUAGUAAUGAGUAAACCCUAUCAGAGUCUGGUGAUGUUCUCAUUUGGUCAAGAGUAAUCUGAAUCCCAAUGCAAAGGAGUUUGUUCCUGGGGUGAAGUACUAAAUAUAUGAGUAGACUGGGCCCUCUUUUGGUGGAUGUAGCACAAUUUCCACACUGUGAAGCCAGUAUUAGAAGAUUUAAUUGUUAAAACGCUCUCUCUUCUUGUCACUGUGUUACACUUACGCAUUGCCAAAGUUUUGUUAGUCUUGCAUGCUUAAUAAAAGUGCUGAGACUGUUAUUAAGUCAACUGCUGUCAGGUUAAUGAACUGGAAAAAUCUAAUUGGACCCAGGCUUUUUGUGAAGGAGACAGUAAGGUAGGAAGCACCAGUCAUGUUGAGAAAAGUUCCAAGUUUCUGAGAAACUCUUGCAAUUCUGCUUUUAGAAGGAUUCAGACUUUGAUAAAGAAUGGUCUGUUUUAAUUAAAACAUAAGAGUCGGUGUUCAGAUGCACCCGAUAAUGCCUUAAUGUGAAAAUAAAA